UCUCUUCUCCAGACUAAAGAGUCCCAGCUCUCUCAGCCUUUCCUCAUAAGGGAGAUACUCUAAUCCCUUAAUCGUCUUUGUUGCCCUAUGCUGGACUCUCUCCAGUUUCUUGCUCUCUCCAGGUUAUUGCUGUAAUCACCAAGGAAGUGUAUUUGCCUACAUAACUACAGAAGGUGAGAGAAAUUGUAGUGAUCUAUUGCCAGUGAAAUCCAGGAGCUAAGCUAUAUGAAUUGCAAAAAUAAAAGAUGUUGUCUCUCAUUACAAACCAUGACACCUUGAGGCCACGUAAGAAAAUUCUCCAUGACUGAAAUAUUGCUACAUCCUGAGAUUUUGUUUCUAGAGCUGUAGAGGAGACAGACAGCAUCCCCAUCAAGUUUGUGGACCACACCAGAUCAAGGGGGCUGUUGAAUACACUGGAGGUUUGGGCUGCUCCUCUGACAGGCUGAAGGGAUGAACCAACUGGAACCUUGCGAAUCUCACGAACCUCAGCAAAGAAAAUUGCUAAGUCCUACACCUAGGAAGGACAAACCACUGGCAAUGAUACAAGCUGGAGGACUCGCAGGCUGUGAGGAGCUCUGUGCAGAAGAACCUGAAGGUACUGGCAGUCACAAAGCUGAACAUGAGCCAGUGUGCCCUGGCAGCAGAGAAAGCAUCCUGAGUUGUAUUAACAGGAGCACAGCUUGUAGACUGAACUGCCUGUGGAUUCAGACAUGUUUUAAGAAUUUCACUAUUCCCUUGUGUGGCUGAGUCAAGUUUUCAGUAUUCACCCAUGCGUCUAGGGAGAACAGAAGGCAACUCCUUCCAAAGCUCUAGAGUCAUUCAACACCUACAUUCAGAAGAUCUAAGGGUUCUAAUUAUAACCAGUUCUUCACCGCUGACAUAGAUGGUGAUGAGGAGAAAAUGAGAUCUCAGUGUGUUUCUUCUGCAUUUUAUUCACCUGCGGUGAGCGUCAGAGAGACAACUGGCUUUUAUUGAUUGCAUAUGGCACUGCUGUCUCAGGAUACCAGGAAAAAGUUACAUGAAUGGCUAAUUUGUGUAACAGAUUUGUUCUAAAUUUGGUACUCAUUUCAAGAUUAAAGCCUCAGAACACAUA